GAUCGUGCUUUUUUAUUGCUGCUCUGCAUUAACCCUGUAGAUCCGAAUUUGUGUAAGUUGUAAAUUCUGUCACAAGUUCGAAUCUCACGGUACCUGCAGAGCAGAACUAGACAUCUGGGAUUUC
rnacentral:precursor_RNA from 8 species